rnacentral:piRNA from 1 species
UGUGACACCCGACCCCCUUGCUGCCUG